rnacentral:rRNA from 1 species
CUGAGGCACGAAAGCUAGGGGAGCGAAGCAGAUUAGAGACCUGCGUAGUCCUAGCCGUAAACGCAUGCUUGCUAGCUGCAUUGCCAGCCCCCUUCGGGGGGUGUAGCUGUGGCGAAGGUAACCCGUUAAGCAAGCCGCCUGGGGAUUACGGCCGCAAGGCUAAAACUCAAAGGAAUUGGCGGGGAGGCACACAACCAGUGGAACAUGUGGUUCAAUUCGAGACAAACCGAAGCACCUCACCGGGGUUUGACAUGCAAUUGCUAAUCCUAUGAAAGUAGGACUCCUUCGAGGGUAUUGCACAGGUGCUGCAUGGCUGUCGUCAGUUCGUUCCGUGAGGAGUGCCCUUAAGUGGGACAACGAACGCAACCCCCAUCGUAUGUUACAAGUGUCAUACGAAACUGCCCCCGAGUUCUCGGGGGAGGAAGGAGGGGCAGACGUCAAGUCAGCAUGGUCCUUACGCCCCGGGCUACACACAUGUUACAAUGGACAAUAACAAUGGGCAGCAAACCGGCGACGGUAAGCUAAUCUCAGAAAUUUGUCCUCAGUGGGGAUUGUAGUCUGCAAUUCGACUACAUGAACGCGGAAUUGGUAGUAAUCGCGGAUCAGCUAUGCCGCGGUGAAUACGUUCUUGCCUCUUGCACACACCGCCCGUCAAGCCAACAAAGUCGGCAUUAUCUGAACCUCGCA